rnacentral:rRNA from 1 species
UACGUAGGGUGCGAGCGUUAUUCGGAAUUACUGGGCGUAAAGCGUGCGCAGGCGGGCUUUUAAGCCAGACGUGAAAUCCCCGGGCUUAACCUGGGAAUGGCGUUUGGGACUGGAAGUCUGGAGUGCGGCAGAGGAGACUGGAAUUCCUGGUGUAGCAGUGAAAUGCGUAGAUAUCAGGAGGAACACCGAUGGCGAAGGCAGGUCUCUGGGCUGACACUGACGCUCAUGCACGAAAGCGUGGGGAGCAAACAGG